rnacentral:rRNA from 1 species
UACGGAGGGGGCGAGCGCUGUUCGGAAUCACUGGGUGUAAAGGGUGCGUAGGCGGUCCGAUAAGUCUGAUGUGAAAGCCCUGGGCUCAACUCAGGAACUGCAUUGGAAACUGACGGACUGGAGUACCGGAGAGGGAAGCGGAAUUCCAGGUGUAGCGGUGAAAUGCGUAGAUAUCUGGAGGAACACCGGUGGCGAAGGCGGCGUUCUGGACUGCUACUGACACUGAGGAACGAAAGCCAGGGGAGCAAACGGG